CCCACCUUAACUGAGUGAUUAACCCUGUGAAUUUCCUUCUCCUGGCUCAGAAGCUCCCACACUGAGCACCUUGUGACCCCCGCCCCUGCCCACCAGAGAACAACCCCCUUUGUAAUUUUCCAUUACCUUCCCAAAUCCUAUAAAACGACCCCACCCCUAUCUCCCUUCACUGACUCUCUUUUUGGACUCAGCCCGCCUGCACCCAAGUGAAAUAAACAGCCAUGUUGCUCACACAAAGCCUGUUUGGUGGUCUCUUCACAAGGACACGCGUGAAAUUUGGUGACGUGACUUGGAUCGGGGGACCUCCCUUGGGAGAUCAAUCUCAUGUCCUCCUGUUCUUUGCUCCAUGAGAAAUAUCCACCUACGACCUCAGGUCUUCAGACUGACCAGCCCAAGAACCAUCUCACCAAUUUCAAAUCCGUUAAACCCAUAAACCAUACCCAGAAUAUUUUAUCAACAAGGCAUCCUGAAUAAUUCAUACUGGAUAAUAAAAGGGUCAAUCCAUGUCUCAACAGUAUCUCAACCUUCAAUGUCUUGCUGGAGUGCAGUGGCUAUUCACAGGUCCAAUCAUCGCACAGCCUCAAACUCCUGGGCUCAAUUUGUCCUCCUGCUUCAGUUCCCUGAGUAGUUGAGACUACAGGCACACGCCAUUUCUUGAAGUGGAAUGGGUGUGCUCUAGCAAAACAGAGACUGCGAUCUUCAACGUCUUCUGUCCUUCGGCUCCAGCAAAGUCUCCCCUCAUGUGCUGCCUCCUUCUCUGCUCUUCUUGAUUCAAUCAAGGACCCAGAUUGCUUUCUGCCUUGCCAGUCAAAAGUCCUCAACAAGUGGCCAUAUGAGCCUACCUUCCACAAAUCCACAAAUAUUAUUGAUAUAGUUUGAAUGUCCCCUCCAAAUCUCAUGUUGAGAUGUAAUCCCCAGUGUUGGAUGUGGGGCCUGGUGGGACGUGUUUUGGUCAUGGGGGCAGAUUUCUUAUAAAUGGUUUUGAAUCAUACCCUUGGUGCUGUCCUUGUGAUAGUGAGUAAGUGCUCAUGAGAUCUGGUUGUUUAAAAGGGUGUGGCGGGAGGGGAACAUCACACACUGGGGCCUGUCAGGGGGUGAGGGGGCUAUGGGAGGGAUAGCAUUAGGAGAAAUACCUAAUGUAGAUGACGGGUUGAUGGGUGCAGCAAACCACCACGGCACGUGUAUACCUAUGUAACAAACCUGCACUUUCUGCACAUGUACCCCAGAACUUAAAGUAUAAUUUUAAAAAAGUGUGUGGCAUCUUCCCCGUCACUCUCUCUUGCUCCUGCUCUAGCCAUGUGACUGCUCCUGCUUCACCAUCCAGCACAAGUAAAAACUUCCCGAGGCCUCCCCAGAAACUGAGCAGAUGCCAAUGCCAUGCUUCCUGUAUAUCCUGCAGAACCAUGACCCAAUUAAACCCCUUUUCUUCAUGAAUCACCCAGGCUCAGCUAUUUCUUCAUAGCAAUGCAAGAACGGCUUAAUACAAUCACCCCACUUUCAUUUCAUGUGUAUAUAAACACACACACACACACACACACACUGCAUCUUAUUUAACAAUGAGGCUUUUUUCAACUAUCUGUAACAAUGUACAAAAUAUGAAAAAUAUGUUUCCUAAGGUGGCAUUAAUCCCAAAAUGAUAAACUAUAGAAUAUUAAUCCCAGUAAAUUCCUUGGUGUGGAGGUGUGGAAACAGAGGGUGGGGAUGAAGCAACUUUCUUUAAAAGUUUUGGAAGUGUACAAUCACAAUAUAUAAUAGCAUAUAUCAAGAGUCCUGUAUGUUUCAUAAAUAAAUAUGUUUAAACUUGUAAAUCUAAUAUAUCCUAAAAGGACUCAUCCAUAAAUUUAUUUUUGUCAUCUAACACUACUAAGAUCCUUAUAAGAAAAAGUUACACGUGUACUCUUGCUUCAGUUAUAUAAAAUUGUUGCCUUUGACUUCAUGUGUUAUACCAUUUACUAUAUCCCGCAGCGCAUCUGAACUAAUUCACAGAGGACCUGGUUGGAGGCCUGGAGAAAAUCGGCAGUCUCACAUGUAAACUUCCAGUUUAUUGGGAUGAGCUAAAAGAGUGUAUUCUCGACAAAGUCUAGCAGGCUCAGCAAUGUGGGUUGCGUGUGGCUUCUCAGGACUCCUAGGUCCUCCUGGGCACACAUGCUUUGCUGGUGGCAAUGGCACUCCUCCUGUCCAAGGAGUUCUGCCACAUCCCCCUCCCGAGAAGGAGCUUGCCUUGCUUCUUUCAACCAUGUCACUUGGAACUCCAGCCUUUAGCAAGCCAUAGCAACUGGGAUCAAAGGAUUUAGAUAUCAGGUACAACUUUUAACUUUACUUCCAGUUAUUUCAUGCUUCAUGGACCACAAAUUAUGUAACUAUGACUAGGAGUCAUGCGUGGCCAAUCACAAUGCAACUACCUUGUGUGUGGAGGACCAGCCUGUGGGCCCGUGCAGCCACACGAGCUAUAGUGUGAAGGUCUAGAGAGAAGUGAUCACAGCCAGUCUGGGCACGGCCUAUGGCACUGUCCACAUGAGAAUAUUCUCUGCAGCUUGAACCCAGUAAAAAUAUCGUCUCCCCUAAUACCCUAAUAUUAUUUUGUUAUUGAACACUUUAUCACAUUUUAGUAUAAUAUUUCCUUCUUCUCUUAGUCCGACAAGGAGCUUAGAGAUAGCUUUUAUAUUCAAUUGAAACACUGUAUUUUGGGUGCAUGAUUUUGGGGGAAUUUUGUUUGUUUGUUUUUUAACAAGCUACUCAAAUCAUGUUUAUCCAAAAUUAAAAGAUAUAGACUGCUAAGAAAACUGUGAGGUCUAUUUUGAAACAGAUAAAUGAGAAUGAAAGAAGUUAGAGUAUAAAUGUAAUUUAAACAUACAAUAUUCAGCAACUAUCAGAAAAUAAAAAUUUAUUGAAGAAAUUUCCUAUUCUUUCUGAAUUUCUCAUGCUGAGGAAGAAUGAUUUUUAAAAAAGCUAUUUGACUUUUGGAAUUUUAUCCUCAGGGAUAAAACUCAGAACACUACAAAAUGAUUUAUGUAUGAGAACAUUCAUUGUGGCAUUUUAAAAAUUGAAAUAAAGAAGAAAUAUUAAAUCUCUAAUAUACCUGUAAAAUUAUUUUUGAGGAAUCUUUAGUAAAGUGAGAAAAUGCUCACAACCUAGACUUGGAUAGGAAGGCAAAUUGAAAAUAACAUGUAUAAUUAAUAUAAAUACCAAUAUCUGAUGUUUGUGGAGUGCUUACUACAUGCCAGACAUUGUACUGAGUAUUUUUCACUGAUUACCAGAAGAAAUAAUUUAUUUUGGAAAAUGUAAAAUAUAUGCAAAUAAGUGAAUGGCACAAUCCAAAGUACCCAUAAUUGUCCACAUCGAGAAAAAAAAAAAGACCUAUCAUGAGCAUUGACAAAUAUACCAGGAACUGUGAGAGGAAAUUUAGGUGCAUUCACUCAGUUAUUCCUCCCAGAAAACCAGUGAUGUAGGUUAUUUUUGUCAUUCAUGCUCAUUCCACUAGAUGACACUGCUAUAAUAAUAAUAAUAAUAGUAGUAGUAGUAGGAGGAGUUAUAACAUAUCUCCCCUCCUUGAAAAAUGAUACUUUUAAUGAUAACCCUAAAGAGCAUCAGUGAAAAUUAAAUUUAUAAUAUCCACUUACAUAUUAAGUAUGUUUAAAAUGUUGUAAUUCUUUUGUAAUUGAUAAUCUAUUUGUAGUAUCUAUAGACCGAUGUACCAAGGCAGUAAAACAUCACAAUUUAACUUUUAUACUUUUUUAUUUUCUUGGAAUACAAUGUACAUGUCCCCAUAGAAAUGUUUAAACAGUAGUUAGUGACUGAUUUCAGACAAAAAAAAAUGCUAUUAAUUCAUUUACUUAGGAGUUCAGAAGAGGUAAGGUAUGCUGAGGAACUCUCUCACAUUCAAGCACACACACACACACACACACACGCGCACACACACACACCUGUGGAAUAAGCAUCUCUCACUCCCCUUUAUGCUGAAUGAACUUGCCAAGGGCUUCCGUUGGUAGUGGCCAUUACAGAUGUCCUCUUAUGCUGGAUUUGGAACAGGACAUGAGAGGAGAGUCAGGCUUGGACUGGCACAGGAAAUGAGGAUUCUGCCAAAGUAAGAGGGGAUCCGGGUGCCCUCUGAAGAGCUGAGACUCAGUGCCUUGUCAGAAGGGCUUCUCGUGGGCUCAAGGGAGAAAGGGAGAAGGGCUAAGAUUUCCAUGAGAUGGAUGAGAGAGGGCCUUCAGAUCCCAGGACUCUUAACAUGGAGGAUGUUCACUAAAGGGUAGGGAAACGGGGCUCUCAAAACACCGGAACCAACUUGUAGCAGCUGCUUGAUCUAACAUGGAAAUAGCAGCUCAGACAUUUUCAUUGCUAGACAUUCUGAAGAAAUAUGAAAUUUUCUGAAUAUUAAGAGACCCCAUCAUCACCUCUGUAUUCAAAAUGUCUUUUCAUUUAUGCUGUCAGAAGAUGAUUAGAAAUAAAAUUUGAAGUGAAACCGUACA
rnacentral:lncRNA from 1 species